rnacentral:rRNA from 1 species
AUUAGAGUUUGAUCCUGGCUCAGGACGAACGCUUGCGACGUGCCUAAGAAAUGCAAGUCGAACGGGGGGAGCAAUCCCCUAGUGGCGAACGGUCGCGUAACACGUGGGCAACCUGCCUCGAAGCGGGGGACAACAGGGGGAAACUUCUGCUAAUACCGCAUGUGAAUUGCUCCGGCAUCGGAGAGGAUUCAAAGCCGCAAGGCACUUCGAGAUGGGCCCGCGGCCUAUCAGCUUGUUGGUGGGGUAACGGCCUACCAAGGCGACGACGGGUAGCUGGUCUGAGAGGACGAUCAGCCGGAUUGGGACUGAGAUACGGCCCAGACUCCUACGGGGGGCAGCAAUUAGGAAUCUUGCGCAAUGGGCGAAAGCCUGACGCAGCGACGUCGCGUGAAGGAUGAAAUCUUUCGGGAUGUAAACUUCUUUUUUCGGGGAAGAAACAAAUGACGGUACCCGAAGAAUAAGCCCCGGCUAACUACGUGCCAGCAGCCGCGGUAAUACGUAGGGGGCGAGCGUUGUCCGAAGUUACUGGGCGUAAAGAGCGCGUAGGCGGGUCUUUAAGUGAGGGGUGAAAGGUUCAGGGCUCAACCCGGACACUGCCUUUCAUACUGGAGACCUUGAGUGUGGGAGAGGCGAGUGGAAUGGUCGGUGUAGCGGUGAAAUGCGUAGAUAUCGAUCGGAACACCCAUGGCGAAGGCAGCUCGCUGGCCUAUAACUGACGCUGAGGCGCGAAAGCGUGGGGAGCAAACAGGAUUAGAUACCCUGGUAGUGCACGCCGUAAACGAUGAAUACUAGGUGUCAGGGGUAUCGACCCCCCUGGUGCCGCAGCUAACGCAAUAAGUAUUCCGCCUGGGGAGUACGGCCGCAAGGUUGAAACUCAAAGGAAUUGACGGGGGCCCGCACAAGCGGUGGAGCAUGUGCAUUAAUUCGUCACUAACCGAAGAACCUUACCUGGGUUUGACAUCUCUGGACAUGCCAUGAAAGUGGUCCUUCCCCGCAAGGGGACCAGAAGACAGGUGUUGCAUGGUUGUCGUCAGCUCGUGUCGUGAGAUGUUGGGUUAAGUCCCGCAACGAGCGCAACCCUCAUCCAAUGUUGCCAGCGUUAAGUCGGGAACUCUUUGGAAACUGCCCGUGUAAGCGGGAGGAAGGUGGGGAUGACGUCAAAUCGGCAUGGCCCUUACACCCAGGGCUUGACACAUGCUACAAUGGCCGUUAAACAAAGCGACGCCAAGCCGCGAGGCUGCGCCAAUCGCAAAAAUACGGUCUCAGUUCGGAUUGCAGGCUGCAACUCGCCUGCAUGAAGUCGGAAUCGCUAGUAACCGCAGGUCAGCUAAACUGCGGUGAAUACGUUCCCGGGCCUUGUACACACUGCCCGUCAAGUCACUUGAUUUGUCUGUAGCCGAAGCCGGUGGCCCAACCCGCAAGGGAGGGAGCUGUCUAAGCUAUGGGGAGAGAGAGGGACUAAGUCGUAACAAGGUAGCCGUAAAU